GACGAACGCUGGCGGCGUGCUUAACACAUGCAAGUCGAGCGGUAAGGCCCUUUCGGGGGUACACGAGCGGCGAACGGGUGAGUAACACGUGGGUGACCUGCCCUUAGCUCUGGGAUAAGCCUGGGAAACUGGGUCUAAUACCGGAUAUGACUCCAUGACGCAUGUUGUGGGGUGGAAAGCCUUGUGCGGCUAGGGAUGGGCCCGCGGCCUAUCAGCUUGUUGGUGGGGUGAUGGCCACCAAGGCGACGACGGGUAGCCGGCCUGAGAGGGCGACCGGCCACACUGGGACUGAGACACGGCCCAGACUCCUACGGGAGGCAGCAGUGGGGAAUCUUGCGCAAUGCGCGAAAGCGUGACGCAGCAACGCCGCGUGGGGAAGAAGGCC
rnacentral:rRNA from 1 species